rnacentral:rRNA from 1 species
GAUGAACGCUGGCGGCGUGCCUAAUACAUGCAAGUCGAGCGAACGGACGAGAAGCUUGCUUCUCUGAUGUUAGCGGCGGACGGGUGAGUAACACGUGGAUAACCUACCUAUAAGACUGGGAUAACUCCGGGAAACCGGAGCUAAUACCGGAUAAUAUUUUGAACCGCAUGGUUCAAAAGUGAAAGACGGUCUUGCUGUCACUUAUAGAUGGAUCCGCGCUGCAUUAGCUAGUUGGUAAGGUAACGGCUUACCAAGGCAACGAUGCAUAGCCGACCUGAGAGGGUGAUCAGCCACACUGGAACUGAGACACGGUCCAGACUCCUACGGGAGGCAGCAGUAGGGAAUCUUCCGCAAUGGGCGAAAGCCUGACGGAGCAACGCCGCGUGAGUGAUGAAGGUCUUCGGAUCGUAAAACUCUGUUAUUAGGGAAGAACAUAUGUGUAAGUAACUGUGCACAUCUUGACGGUACCUAAUCAGAAAGCCACGGCUAACUACGUG